UGAUGAGAAGCUUGCUUCUCUCUGAUGGUUAGCGGCGGACGGGUGAGUAACACGUAGGCAACCUGCCCUCAAGUUUGGGACAACUACCGGAAACGGUAGCUAAUACCGAAUAAUUGUUUUCUUCGCCUGAAGGAAACUGGAAAGACGGAGCAAUCUGUCACUUGGGGAUGGGCCUGCGGCGCAUUAGCUAGUUGGUGAGGUAACGGCUCACCAAGGCGACGAUGCGUAGCCGACCUGAGAGGGUGAUCGGCCACACUGGGACUGAGACACGGCCCAGACUCCUACGGGAGGCAGCAGUAGGGAAUCUUCCGCAAUGGGCGAAAGCCUGACGGAGCAAUGCCGCGUGAGUGAUGAAGGUUUUCGGAUCGUAAAGCUCUGUUGCCAGGGAAGAACGCUUGGGAGAGUAACUGCUCUCAAGGUGACGGUACCUGAGAAGAAAGCCCCGGCUAACUACGUGCCAGCAGCCGCGGUAAUACGUAGGGGGCAAGCGUUGUCCGGAAUUAUUGGGCGUAAAGCGCGCGCAGGCGGUCAUUUAAGUCUGGUGUUUAAUCCCGGGGCUCAACCCCGGAUCGCACUGGAAACUGGGUGACUUGAGUGCAGAAGAGGAGAGUGGAAUUCCACGUGUAGCGGUGAAAUGCGUAGAUAUGUGGAGGAACACCAGUGGCGAAGGCGACUCUCUGGGCUGUAACUGACGCUGAGGCGCGAAAGCGUGGGGAGCAAACAGGAUUAGAUACCCUGGUAGUCCACGCCGUAAACGAUGAGUGCUAGGUGUUAGGGGUUUCGAUACCCUUGGUGCCGAAGUUAACACAUUAAGCACUCCGCCUGGGGAGUACGGUCGCAAGACUGAAACUCAAGA
rnacentral:rRNA from 1 species